GAUGAACGCUGGCGGCGUGCCUAAUACAUGCAAGUCGAGCGAACGGACGAGAAGCUUGCUUCUCUGAUGUUAGCGGCGGACGGGUGAGUAACACGUGGAUAACCUACCUAUAAGACUGGGAUAACUUCGGGAAACCGGAGCUAAUACCGGAUAAUAUUUUGAACCGCAUGGUUCAAAAGUGAAAGACGGUCUUGCUGUCACUUAUAGAUGGAUCCGCGCUGCAUUAGCUAGUUGGUAAGGUAACGGCUUACCAAGGCAACGAUGCAUAGCCGACCUGAGAGGGUGAUCGGCCACACUGGAACUGAGACACGGUCCAGACUCCUACGGGAGGCAGCAGUAGGGAAUCUUCCGCAAUGGGCGAAAGCCUGACGGAGCAACGCCGCGUGAGUGAUGAAGGUCUUCGGAUCGUAAAACUCUGUUAUUAGGGAAGAACAUAUGUGUAAGUAACUGUGCACAUCUUGACGGUACCUAAUCAGAAAGCCACGGCUAACUACGUGCCAGCAGCCGCGGUAAUACGUAGGUGGCAAGCGUUAUCCGGAAUUAUUGGGCGUAAAGCGCGCGUAGGCGGUUUUUUAAGUCUGAUGUGAAAGCCCACGGCUCAACCGUGGAGGGUCAUUGGAAACUGGAAAACUUGAGUGCAGAAGAGGAAAGUGGAAUUCCAUGUGUAACGGUGAAAUGCGCAGAGAUAUGGAGGAACACCAGUGGCGAAGGCGACUUUCUGGUCUGUAACUGACGCUGAUGUGCGAAAGCGUGGGGAUCAAACAGGAUUAGAUACCCUGGUAGUCCACGCCGUAAACGAUGAGUGCUAAGUGUUAGGGGGUUUCCGCCCCUUAGUGCUGCAGCUAACGCAUUAAGCACUCCGCCUGGGGAGUACGACCGCAAGGUUGAAACUCAAAGGAAUUGACGGGGACCCGCACAAGCGGUGGAGCAUGUGGUUUAAUUCGAAGCAACGCGAAGAACCUUACCAAAUCUUGACAUCCUUUGACAACUCUAGAGAUAGAGCCUUCCCCUUCGGGGGACAAAGUGACAGGUGGUGCAUGGUUGUCGUCAGCUCGUGUCGUGAGAUGUUGGGUUAAGUCCCGCAACGAGCGCAACCCUUAAGCUUAGUUGCCAUCAUUAAGUUGGGCACUCUAAGUUGACUGCCGGUGACAAACCGGAGGAAGGUGGGGAUGACGUCAAAUCAUCAUGCCCCUUAUGAUUUGGGCUACACACGUGCUACAAUGGACAAUACAAAGGGCAGCGAAACCGCGAGGUCAAGCAAAUCCCAUAAAGUUGUUCUCAGUUCGGAUUGCAGUCUGCAACUCGACUACAUGAAGCUGGAAUCGCUAGUAAUCGUAGAUCAGCAUGCUACGGUGAAUACGUUCCCGGGUCU
rnacentral:rRNA from 1 species